rnacentral:tRNA from 1 species
UCCUGGCUGGCUCAGUCGGAAGAGUGUGAGGUUCUUGAUCUAGAGGUCGUGAGUUCAAGCCCCACGCUGGGUG